GAUGAACGCUGGCGGCGUGCCUAAUACAUGCAAGUCGAGCGAACGGACGAGAAGCUUGCUUUUCUGAUGUUAGCGGCGGACGGGUGAGUAACACGUGGAUAACCUACCUAUAAGACUGGGAUAACUUCGGGAAACCGGAGCUAAUACCGGAUAAUAUUUUGAACCGCAUGGUUCAAAAGUGAGAGACGGUCUUGCUGUCACUUAUAGAUGGAUCCGCGCUGCAUUAGCUAGUUGGUAAGGUAACGGCUUACCAAGGCAACGAUGCAUAGCCGACCUGAGAGGGUGAUCGGCCACACUGGAACUGAGACACGGUCCAGACUCCUACGGGAGGCAGCAGUAGGGAAUCUUCCGCAAUGGGCGAAAGCCUGACGGAGCAACGCCGCGUGAGUGAUGAAGGUCUUCGGAUCGUAAAACUCUGUUAUUAGGGAAGAACAUAUGUGUAAGUAACUGUGCACAUCUUGACGGUACCUAAUCAGAAAGCCACGGCUAACUACGU
rnacentral:rRNA from 1 species